GCGCCCGUAGCUUAACGGAUAAAGUUGCCGUCUUCGGAACGGUCGAUGAGGGUUCGAUUCCCCCCGGGCGCA
rnacentral:tRNA from 1 species